AAUAAGGAGAUGGCCGGGGGAGGGGGAGGGGGAGGGAACGCGAGUAGUCAUGUGUUCCCUUCAUUUUCAUGUAAUUAUGUGGUGGACAGAGAGAUCAGUGAGUGGGGGAACGAAUGCAGGAAGAGCACCAACAUGAGGAGGGCAGGGAGCUUCCCUCUGCUCUCUUACUCGUCACACUCUCAUUUCAGCUGGGCAACUCUGUACGGAGGACUCAAGGACGCGGUUCCUUGGAGGAGGAGGAGGAGUAGGAAAGCCGGGAAGAUGCGAUCGUGAAUCGUCAUGUGUCUCUUGACAUUUUGCUACUGCCACGUCUCCAUCAUCUCUCUGUCAUCCCCAUACUAGCCAUCACCGUCGCGUUUCGUCGAUCAGCAGUUUUCUGUCCAUUUUACAAGGACGUUGCCAUGGCCGACACAGCCAAAUAAGAGUCGCCCAUUGCGGUGCUGCUUUUGCUGCUGUCUUUUAACUAUAAACGCCAUAUAAAAAUUUAAUGCAAUGUCUUGUGGCCUCUCUUGGCCGCUUUAGCUGCAAGUGUGUUAGUCGUGUACAUGCAGAAGCAGUGCUUUCUUGUCUGAUUAAACAGCAUAUGUCUAGAGGAUCACCGAGAGGAUCAACCCUGUGAAAUUACAAGUUUUAAGAUGCGUACGGUACUAAUUUGUGUAUGUGCCUAUGGCUGACCAUAUCUGUUCAAACGUCUAUCUAUACAUUUUACAUGUCCAUUUUACA